GGUAAUUUGCCCCUCCACUCACUCCAAUAGAAUACCACAAAUUUCUCCACCGGCCACCACCAUCAUCGUUCCAUAGGCACUCUAUUUUUGCAGCUUCGAGUUCUUUUAGGUGAUUUUCUGUUGGAGCUGUUUGGUAGGGAGGGAAAGUUUGUGUUACGUGAGUCAAUAUGAAAUCGCCGGCGUCAGCUUCAUGGAAAGCCCCUCUAAAGUUCAGGAUGCCGACAGCUGAAAAUUUAAUACCCAUUAGGCUUGACAUAGAAGUCGAUGGACAGAGCUAUAAAGAUGCUUUCACUUGGAACCCUUAUGAUCCGGAUUCAGAGGUGGUGAUGUUUGCAAAAAGGACUGUAAAAGACUUGAAGCUUUCCCCUGGUUUCCUUCCGCAAAUUGUUCAAUCCAUUCAGUCACAGCUUGCCACCUUUCGAUCAUAUGAAGGUCAAGACAUGUAUGUUGGUGACAAGAUCAUUCCAAUUAAGCUUGAUCUUCAAGUCAAUCAUACAGUUAUCAGGGAUCGGUUUUUAUGGGACUUGAACAACUUUGAUAGUGAUCCUGAAGAAUUUGCUAGAACUCUCUGCAAAGAUUUAGGCAUUGAAGACCCUGAAGUUGAGCCUGCAAUUGCCUUUGCAAUCAGAGAGCAACUUUAUGAGAUUGCAAUUCAAAAUGUAACUACAGCAAGGGAGAACAGAAUAAGCAAAAAGGGUCGUCGGGCUGCUGAACAUUUCACUCCCAGUAAAGCUAGUGGUGCUGCACUGGACUUGAUGAAGUUAUUCAGUUUCGGAUCAAGUGUUGUCCGGAAAAGAAAGGAGUGGGAUUAUUAUAAACCCGUUCUUGACCUUUUAUCUAAUGAGGACGUACAUGCUCUCGAAGCCAAAGAAGAAAGGAGUGGCUGGGAGGGAAAGUUAGUGUUACGUGAAUCAAUAUGAAACCGCCAGCGUCAGCUUCAUGGAAAGCCCCUCUAAAGUUCAGGAUGCCGACUGCUGAAAAUUUAAUACCCAUUAGGCUUGACAUAGAAGUCGAUGGACAGCGCUAUAAAGAUGCUUUCACUUGGAACCCUUAUGAUCCGGAUUCAGAGGUGGUGAUGUUUGCAAAAAAGGACUGUAAAAGACUCGAAGCUUGCCAAAGAACAACUAUCCUAUACAUCAACCUCCUUUGGUAUUCUCUGCCUUUGUUGGGCUCUGUUGGUUUCUUCGUUCACUUUAUCUGAUCGUUCGAGGUUCCUUUCUCUCUGUAUGUCUCCAAUUUUCGAGAUCUGUGGAUAUAUUUUCUAUAUGGUUUCCGCGGCAUUUGUCUGUUGUUGCUGGUUUUUUUAAUUCAACCAUGAAUAGAAACUUUGACAGAUUUUGGGUGAAUGUAAUCGUUGAAAAGAAGAAAAAAGAACCAGCGCUGUUUAAUAAAAUAUUAGCAUUUGCAA